UUAAUUGCAACUGGACUUUUAUUGUACAGUUAGGAAAAGUGUUUUCACAAAAAUAAUUGGAAAAAAUAUACCAUUUCAUAGGUAAGUCUUACAGUGAAGAGAAUUUGCUAACAAAUGUCAUUUCAAGAUGUAGGGAGUAUGUUUGAGCUCGUGUCCACUGCUGCAGGGAAGACAUGUCCAGUUUGGUCACAAAGAUACAGGAUGAGGGAAUUAUGAUUAAGCAAGCCAUUUAUUUGUUAGAACUUUGUUUUUAAAUUACUGUUCAUUGAUAUUAUAAUUUGUCUUUUAACUUCUGAUUUCUAAAAAUAUUUAAUUACAAAAGUAUAGUUCCCCUAUCUCAUAAAAUGCCAAUGAUACCGAGUGGGCUAUACACGUGUCAUGCUACUUGAUUCAUUCAGCAUGUCUCUCUUUAAUACUAAUAAGGCAGUUUGACACAAACGAUUCCUUUGGGACUAAGAUCACAUUUAUCCCCUUCAAAAUUGUGCUUUAAGUGCUAAUAACCAUAGGUGGUUUGCAAAGAACUGAUAAGGCAACAAAGUGGAGAGGUCUCGGAUCAAAGGCCUGGGCAUAAAAGGUGGUGACUAGCACUGAAGAGAGGCUGCAUGGGGAAGGGAGCGGUGAGAGUGCGUCUGUGGGUGUGUGGGCUUUAAGUGAGGAACUGGUGCCUCUUCUCCGCUCAUCUGCUGCUUCUACAGCUGCCCCUGCAGGUACUCUGUCAUCUGCUGGCAUUCAUCUCCCCCUCCACCGGGUGUUUUUGAGGUAAAAGAUUGAAUGGUUUUGCACGUG
rnacentral:lncRNA from 1 species